CUACCGGAUAGGUAACCUCCAAGGAGCUAAUUAUAAUUUGUCAUGCAGAGAUCAAUUCUUAUUUCAGGUAUGCCAGAUGCCUCGCCCCUAGCUGUUGUAGGGAAGGCUCCAGGGCGUUGUAGCGCUGAGAGUGCCGGCCCACUGGGAUGAGAUACGGCCAGACUCUACGGGAGCAGCAGUGAGGAAUUUGCGCAAUGGCGAAACCUGACGCAGCAACGCGCGUGGUGAUGAAGUUUAGGAGUUAAAAUCCUUUUGGAGGGAAGAACAGCUUGAUUUGAUAAGGUUCAAAGUUUACGUACCUCCAGAGAAAGCCCCGGCUAACUCCGUGCCAGCAGCCGCGGUAAUACGGGGGGGGCAAGCGUUUUCGGAAUUAUUGGGCGUAAAGAGCGCGUAGGCGGGAUGAUAAGUCAGCGGUGAAAACCAUGAGCUCAACUCAUGGCCGGCCUUUGAAACUGUCAUUCUUGAGUGCGGUAGAGGGAAGUGGAAUUCCUGGUGUAGCGGUGAAAUGCGUAGAUAUCAGGAAGAACACCGGUAGCGAAGGCGGCUUCCUGGCCCGCAACUGACGCUGAGGCGCGAAAGCGUGGGGAGCGAACAGGAUUAGAUACCCUGGUAGUCCACGCCGUAAACGAUGGGCACUAGGUGUUGGUCUGCCACAAGCAGAUCAGUGCCGGAGCUAACGCAUUAAGUGCCCCGCCUGGGGAGUACGAUCGCAAGGUUGAAACUCAAAGGAAUUGACGGGGGCCCGCACAAGCGGUGGAGCAUGUGGUUUAAUUCGAUGCAACGCGAAGAACCUUACCUGGGCUUGAAGUUGCAGCCGAAAUUUGCCGAAAGGCGAACCUCCUUCGGGACGGCUGUAGAGGUGCUGCAUGGCUGUCGUCAGCUCGUGCCGUGAGGUGUUGGGUUAAGUCCCGCAACGAGCGCAACCCUUGCCCUUAGUUGCCAUCAGGUUAUGCUGGGAACUCUAAGGGGACUGCCCCGAAUAACGGGGAGGAAGGUGGGGAUGACGUCAAGUCCUCAUGGCCCUUACGUCCAGGGCUACACACGUGCUACAAUGGUCGGUACAGUGGGAAGCAAUACCGCGAGGUGGAGCAAAUCCCUUAAAACCGGUCUCAGUUCGGAUUGCAGUCUGCAACUCGACUGCAUGAAGUCGGAAUCGCUAGUAAUCGCGGAUCAGCAUGCCGCGGUGAAUACGUUCCCGGGCCUUGUACACACCGCCCGUCACGCCAUGGAAGUUGGUAGCACCCGAAGCCAGUGGCCUAAUCUACUAGUUGUGGAAAGGAGCUGUCGAAGGUGAGAUCGAUGACUGGGGCGAAGUCGUAACAAGGUAACCGUA
rnacentral:rRNA from 1 species